CCGGCGGGAAGAACUGGAGGCCCGGAGCCUCUGGGAGCAGCCAGCGGAAGUCACCCCGGGUGAGGAGGCGCGGCCCAAGGGUGAGAUAUAGGAACUCGGCUGUCUUCACGUGCAGGACUCAAGGCUUAGCGGGAAGCCGUGGGUUACGAGGACUCCUCGGUAGGGUACCCUGCAAAGGCCCUUGACCACGGUGGCCUCGACGCACUUCCCAGAUCCCCUCUAGAUAGAAGACUUGAGGGGGUGUCUCCUAUACAAUGUGAAGAGGCUUCCGGACCUUGUAGGGCUUGGGGGGUACUGGGGAUUAACCUCUGGAGCAGUCAACCACUGAGCCACACCCCUGAAUUCCUUCUGAGCUGCCGGAAUUACAGGCCACCCACCCUGCCCCUGCCAGAGACCCUGUAGGUUUGAAAGUCUAUUAGUGCCCUAAAUUUAAGAAACACCUAGCAGUUUGGAAGUUACAAUGGAAAGGAAUUUGACCUCAAAAUUGUUAUUUCAACAAUUUUGAACAUUUAAAAAAUGUGCCAGGGGAGGGUAAAGAGAUGGAAAAAUAAGAUUUUUGCAGGAUGGAGGAAAAGGCUCUCCACAAGGGAAUGUGUUAACCACAAAAAAUUAAAGUACAGGGAGGACAGAAGACAUGCUGGAAGCCCACAGAGCUGAUUUCAAAAGAUGCUCAAGAAGUCUGAGAGUGCGCAUGCUAAUUUAAAGAUGAGAAGAUGUUUGCCUAUAAUGCAGACCACUUAAAGACUGGGGGCUAAUUAAAUUGAAACAAAUCCUUUGCAGACUAUUGAAUAAUACAGAUAUUUUUUUCAAGCUAUAAAUGCUGGCAGUUCUUGUUCAUGUUUCUGUCCAGAUGGGUUCUCAGACUGUUACAAUUAAAAUUGCCUGUAUAAACCCAAGCCUAAGGUCUGACAGGAAAUCUGUGCUGAAGGUUGAAGGGUCACCAUUGGCUGCCACCAUUCCCUCUCAGCUAAUAUAU
rnacentral:lncRNA from 1 species